UACAGAGGUCUCAAGCGUUGUUCGGAUUCAUUGGGCGUAAAGGGUGCGUAGGUGGCGCCGUAAGUCAGGUGUGAAAUUUCGGAGCUUAACUCCGAAACUGCAUUUGAUACUGCGGUGCUUGAGGACUGGAGAGGAGACUGGAAUUCACGGUGUAGCAGUGAAAUGCGUAGAUAUCGUGAGGAAGGCCAGUGGCGAAGGCGGGUCUCUGGACAGUUCCUGACACUGAGGCACGAAGGCCAGGGGAGCAAACGGG
rnacentral:rRNA from 1 species